AUUGAACGCUGGCGGCAGGCUUAACACAUGCAAGUCGAACGAGUGGCGGACGGGUGAGUAAUGCUUGGGAAUCUAGCUUAUGGAGGGGGAUAACUAUGGGAAACUGUAGCUAAUACCGCGUACCCUAGGAUGAGCCCAAGUGGGAUUAGGUAGUUGGUGAGGUAAAGGCUCACCAAGCCGAUGAGCUCUAGCUGGUCUGAGAGGAUGACCAGCGACACUGGGACUGAGACACGGCCCAUACUCGUACGGGAGGGAGAAGUGUGGAAUAUUGCGCAAGGGGGGGAACCUGACGCAGCCAUGCCGGGGGAAGGAUGAAGGCUUUCGGGUUGUAAACCUCUUUCGCUAACGAACGGGUACGUGGAGAAGAAGCGCCGGCUAACUACGUGCCAGCAGCCGCGGUAAUUC
rnacentral:rRNA from 1 species